UGGCGCACGGCUGAGGAGCACGUGGCUGACCAACCCUGGCGUGGGGGACAACGGGUCGAAAGACGCGCUAAUCCCGCAUACGAUCCGCUUCGGCGGAGGAAAGCCGCAAGGCGCGCGAGGCUGGGGCCGCGGCCCAUUAGGUUGUUGGUGUGGUAAUGGCGCACCAAGCCCGUGAUGGGUUCCGGGUCUGAGAGGACGACCCGGCAGACUGGGACUGAGACACGGCCCAGACUCCUACGGGGGGCAGCAGCAAGGAAUUUUCGGCAAUGGGCGCAAGCCUGACCGAGCAACGCCGCGUGGAGGAUGACGGCUUUCGGGUUGUAAACUCCUUUUCAGGGGGACGAAACACUGACGGUACCCCUGGAAUAAGGCCCGGCUAACUACGUGCCAGCAGCCGCGGUAAUACGUAGGGGCCGAGCGUUGUCCGGACUUACUGGGCGUAAAGCGUGGGUAGGUGGAUGGCGAUGUGCCGUGUGAAAGCCCCGCGCUUCUCGCGGGGAGGUCAUGGUAGAC
rnacentral:rRNA from 1 species